CAGGGCUGCAGGCCUUGCAUGCAGCCAGGGGGCACCGGGCCCCUGACCCCUUUUCCUGGCAAACAGGGCAGUUUGCUCACCUGGUCAAGACCCCCUAGUGAGGCAGAAAUUCCUGUUUUCAGCCAAACAUGGUCACAGCUGCCAACUAGGUCAUCAGAGCAUCCGGCUUCCCAAGCUUUCAGCAAGUUCCAGGGAGGCCCUCGGGUGCCCAGUGUCACUGGUUCGUUCAAUUCAGUGAGCUGUCAUGGCACCCCCCAGCAAGGCUGGGCACACGCCAGCUACCUAUCUUCUCAUCCCCAGGUGCUAAGUCCCCCAGGCCUGGGCUCCGGUGUCUGCUUCCUGUGCCCCUGUCCUUCUGGCAGCUCACAAGGGCCUAGGAGACCAGGUGCCUGCUGCCCCCAGCCCCCAUCACUGCCUCCCACAGUGUGGCCCCCAUCUCUGCCUCCCACAAUGUGCUCAGAUCCGACAAUUAUUGAGCACGGCUGGGCAGACCCGGUGCUGAGCAGACCCGGUGCUGAGCACUUGAUGUUCACUGUCGUGUUGGAUUCUAACUUUGGAGAGACUUCCAUUGUUAUCAUUCUCUUUUUACAGAAGCCGACACUCCAGAACUGAGGCUUGAACCCAGGUUUGUCCCUUAGGGAGCCAGCAAUCUUAACCAUUAAGUGGCCCUGCACCCUGACCUCCCCAACGCCAGACUCUCCCCCUCCCUCCCUGGAACGUCUCACCCACUGAUCUGCCUGCAAACUCCUUUCCCUACCCCUGCCCUACCACCCCCUCCAGGAGGACUGCCCAGAUUUACCUCCUGGCCCUCAGCCCUGGCCACCUGAGUCAUAGCACACUGGUGCAGCUCUGGGAGGGAGGCCCUAUUCAGGAGUUCUCUCUCUGUGUCCCCAGGGCCUGUGAAUAAACACAGGCAGAGAGCUCAGAAAAGAUUUCUUGAAUGAAUGGCUCCUGCCCUCCAGGACUUAUAAACUCAUGGGAUUAAUACCAGCCCUCAGACAGACCCAGGGACCUGGAGAGAACCCAGAGCAGGACGCAGGGCGUGGGCCGUCUAGGGGCAGCAGCAGGCAGUGGGGAAGCAAAGUAAGAAUGUGUGCUGGCCACCCUCCCUUCUUUGGUCCUAUCUCAUUCCUUUUUUCCUUCCUCCCUUGGUCACCCCCCCUACACACACACCCGCUAUCUCACUGGAAACAGUUGUGGCUGAGAAUGGGGAGGGGUGGCGGGUGGCGGGGAGGGAGGCCCCAACUGUUUAUAGGAACUGGAGCGGCUCCAUCCAUCAGCUCUGUUUGGAGCUGGAGACCAAGCAUAAUAAAUACCUUGGCUCCUCCCCAGCUGUGCUUUCCCUGAACUUGGCCAUCUGAACUCCAAAUCUCUCUGGCCUGCUGGUUCUCAGGAUCCAGCUUCCAAUCCACCCCACCCUGCCCCCACCUCCUUCCAGGCUGUCCUGGAACAAGCCCUGCCUCUGGGACUGGAAACUUGGCCGAGUCUAGGCUCUGCUACUCCUUUGCCCUGGGAGCAAGGGCCAUGUCACUCGUCAGUGCCCCCAUUUCCCCAUCUGUAAAAUGGGCUCUUAACCAUCACCCUUGCCCUAACUCACAGAGGUGUUCACUUGUCAGGCCAGCAUGGCAAGAGUGACCACACAGUGCUAGAUCCUGGGCCUGCGGGACACAUGGGAACAGGUAAAACCACAGCCCAAGCUAGGAAGUGGUCACUCUUGAGGCAGGUCCAGAGUUUGCGCUUAGGGAAUGUGCAGAUGGGAACAGCCCUUGCAGCUGGAGGAGUGAGGGAGACUUGGAGGAUAUCUGACUGCCCACAGGAAGGGCGGGAUUUCACACAUACACACGGGGAGAGGACCAGGCAGUCAAGCUGCGCAGUGGGAGAUCCUGGGCACAGAAGGGAGCCUGCCUCUGUCCAGCCUCCACCCCAUCACUGACAGCGUGUGUCGUCUGAUCCUCUAGCAUCUUCCUCUCAGAUCUUCCAGCCUUCUGGAAUUUUCCCUCCUUGUGUGGAGAGCUUCCAGCUCACCCAGCUCUGCUCUCCCAAGUUGUGGAUGCAUUCCCAGAAUUCUGCCGUCAUGUCCCCACUCCUACCCUCGCCCCAAGAAAAGCCACCUACCUAUAAAGUAGAAGACUCAGAGUGGGAAAAGCCAUUGGCCAAUAGCACAUGUUUCUGGUAUGAAUAAGGGAAUAAAUGAAGAAAGGAGUGAAUGAAAGAGUGAGUCAAGGAAAAAGAGAAUGAGUGAGUAAGUUAAUGAAAGCAACCAAUAUUUCUUGAGCCCUGCCACAGUCCACACUGGGUGCUGGGUGCUAGACGCACAAGGUCCCUCUCUUUGAGGCACUUACAGCUUAUUAAAGAAAUAGACAUUAAACACACACGCACACACACACACACACAACAACAACAAAAAAACAAUGGCAAAUUGUGACAUGUGCUAUGAAAGGAAGUAACAGGGAGACAAUUUGGAUGGGGAGGGACUCAGAGGAGUCCUCUGAGGAUGUGCUCUGAAGGCUGAGACUUGGGAGGAUGUGAAUUGAGAGAGCAAGGGAACCAGUGUUCCCAUAGCCUCUUCCCCUCAUUCCCAUGAGUUUGUCAAAGUGCUUGGGAAGAGCAGGGACUGAACUCUGAGGUUUGCUGCUCUGCACGGAAGGCAUUCCCCAGCCGGGCGCCUCGGUACCUCGAGUCCCAUUCUGGAGUCAUAGCAAAAACCAUGGAAGGCCACAUACGGGACAGAGGGGGUGAUGGUCAAGGGCCCCAGGAGUCACGCAUUGUGGGGCAGAGGGCUAACUAGGUUGCAAGGGGAAAGAGACUAGCUCCAAAGGCCCUGGCUUUUAAAUGAUUAUUGUUAUUGUUAUUUUGGUUGACGAUUGUCUGGCCUCCCUCCUUUCCCCACCACCCUGUCAGCCUGCAAGUUCAGCCCCUUUCACUCCAGGGAACCCAUAUUAAGAUUCUCACACAUAACCCUUCCUGUUUUCUCCACGAUCAAGUUGCAAUACACUGUGUACCCGGUAUUAAGGAUUUGGGAUCAUUGUUUUAUAAAAGUGAAAUUGUUUUCUAUACACUCUCUGGCAUUUUGCUUUCUUUUAAAAAUCCACAGUACUUCAAAGACAUUCUACCCAAGAAACUGAUAGAGCUCUGAUUCAUCUUGGACUGCACAUAAUAAUAUUCCAAUAGUGUUAAUAUUCCUUUAUUUAUUCACUCUUGAAAGAUACUUCCUUUGUUAUCUUUUCUUACAACUAUAAACAUGCUGUAAAAAAAAUGCUUUUGCAUGUGCCUGUUUUCUCUGGGGUUGUGUUCCAGUGAGAUAAAUACCUAGAAGGACACAUACAUAUACACACACACACACACAUAUGUUCAUAUACAUAUAUUCAUUGAUCUAGAAUUAUAUGUUAAAUAUGUAGGUUAAAUUUACUUUACACACACACACACACAUAAUUCUAAUAAAACAUCUUUUUUUAAAAGUAAUGUUUCACAUUUCCACAAUAUGUGCUAGUUUCUUCUCCUCUGCUUAUCUGCCAGAAAUUCAAGUUUUAACUUUGAGUGUAAAGUGGUCCCUCAUUGUUCUUUCUCGUUGGACUUCCCUACUCUGUAUCUGAGAUUUUUGUCUCUUCGCCAUCUGUAUUAACUCUUCCAUGAACUGCUCAAUCUGUCCUUUGCCUAGUUUUCUAUUGAGUUCCUUUUUCCUUGUCCAUUCGUAAAACAUCACUGUACUGUGCAAAUAUUAAAGUUGGACUAACGUUUCAUAGCGCUGGUCUCCACCUCUGUCAUUUGUCUGCUGACUCUGCUUAGUUCUUUUCUGUUCUGCCGUGUUUUCUAGAGCCUCACUUUUCUUUUAAAGUGUCUCAGUUUGAUUAAGUUUUAUGAAGAUUGCUCCUACAGUUGUCUAAAUUUUCUCAUAAGAUCUUUUUCUUGUUUUCGUUUUUACAUUCAAGUCUUUAAAUAAUCUGAAAUGUACUUUUGGUUAUGAAGUUGGG
rnacentral:lncRNA from 1 species